AUUGAACGCUGGCGGCAUGCCUUACACAUGCAAGUCGAACGGUAACAGGUCUUCGGAUGCUGACGAGUGGCGAACGGGUGAGUAAUACAUCGGAACGUGCCCGAUCGUGGGGGAUAACGCAGCGAAAGCUGUGCUAAUACCGCAUACGAUCUACGGAUGAAAGCGGGGGAUCGCAAGACCUCGCGCGGACGGAGCGGCCGAUGGCAGAUUAGGUAGUUGGUGGGAUAAAAGCUUACCAAGCCGACGAUCUGUAGCUGGUCUGAGAGGACGACCAGCCACACUGGGACUGAGACACGGCCCAGACUCCUACGGGAGGCAGCAGUGGGGAAUUUUGGACAAUGGGCGCAAGCCUGAUCCAGCCAUGCCGCGUGCAGGAUGAAGGCCUUCGGGUUGUAAACUGCUUUUGUUACGGAACGAAAAGACUCUCUCCUAAUACAGGGGUGGAAUGACGGUACCGUAAGAAUAAGACACCGCUAACUACGUGCAGACG
rnacentral:rRNA from 1 species